rnacentral:misc_RNA from 1 species
UGAUAAUAGUACCUGAUUGUAAAAGGCUAGCAUAUCUGGUUAACACACUCCAUUUUUGCUUUCUGUGACUUUUUUCCUUUUCCAGGUUCAGCUACAUUAUUGUGUACAACAUUGCUUUCCCUAGCAUGGAGUCUUAACUCAGAACUAGUUGCUCCAAAAGAUUCUAGCCACAGUUACUAAUUACUAAACAAUUUUAGUAUUAUUUCAUAGGCCUUUACUACUGAAAUACAUUGGGAUCAAAAGGAUUUUACGAAAUACUAAUAAAUGAUGCUGGAUCUGGAGGAAUAGGGACAUGAACAGCUCCUUCUAGCAUAAGAACGACUUUCUUCAUUGCAGGUCUUAGGGUUGGAUCCUCCUGAAUGCACCAGAUUGCGACCAUCACAAACUUUUCUACCCUCUUCAUAUCACUCAUUGCCUCCUCAUCAUCUUCCACUAACAGAUUCACUUUCCCUUCUUUAUAGCAAUCAUAUGCCCAAUCUGCAAGUAUCAUCACAUUUUCUUCCUUCAAAUCCAUCUCAAAGUUCCUUCUACAACAAAUGAGCUCUAGCAGCAAAAUGCCAAAGCUGUACACAUCUGCUUUCACUGUGAUUGGCUGGUUCUUGUGCCAUUCCGGGGCAACAUAUCCCCUCGUUCCUCUCAUGAUGUCAGUUAUUGUCCUGCUUUGGUCCGGCAUCAACAACUUUGCGAGUCCAAAAUCUGAAAUUUUUGCAUGCAUGUGUUCAUCCAUUAGUAUGUUGUUAGGAUUUAUGUCACAGUGGAUGAUUUGAGCCUCACAUUCCUCAUGCAGAUAAAGGAUCCCUCUGGCUAUCUCUAAAGCAAUUCGAAUUCUGUCUCCCCAACUAGGUUUUGUUCCUGAUUUUAUCAGAAACUGUGUAAGUGAUCCAUUUCUCAUGUAUUCGUAAACUAGAAGCCUGUUGGUUUUGUCAUGGCAGUAACCAAGCAAGCGUACGAGAUUUCUGUGGUGAGUUCUACCGAUUGAUCUCAUCUCAUUCAGAAAUUCAGGCUCUCCUUCGGACUCCAUUUUCUCCAAUCUUUUAACAGCAAUUGCCGUCUGCCCAUUUGACAAGGCUCCUUUGAAAACUGUCCCAAAAGCUCCCCUUCCUAACCUCUCAUUGAAGCCAUUGGUCGCUCUUUCAAGUUCUUCAUAGGUAAAUGAUCUCAAUGUGACAUCUGAUGCCAAUUCUGUAUCUGGUUCAUUAUGGGUGGCUUUAUAUUCUGAAGCACGGUGUCUAAAAAUAAGAACACCAGAUGUUGCAAGGACUAGGAAGGAAAAAGUUAAACAAGCAACACCACCUAUUAAGAUGCCAGUUGACGGCUGCUUGCUUUCUGUAGGGAUGGUUGUUAAGCCUCCAUCCCCUACUUUCAUCAAGGCUACAGUACUCUCGCCGUCUAGAUCUCUCUUCCCAAAUCUCAGUGGAAGCUUUUGUUUCUUGCACAUCUGGUCUUGAAACAGAGCAGCUUCACAGUUGCAGUCCAUUAAACAAGCCCGGUUACAGUCUUCUUUUGCUGCCGACGAUAAAACAGAAUAUGCAUUAUCUUCCCACACAAUGUUUUCCAAUUCGUAAAUGGUAUACUUCGUAUUUUCAUUAUUGAAAAGACAAUUCUCUACAAGAAAAUUUCUGUUGCAUCCCAUAUUUUUCUGCUUCUGAUCGAUGUAGACAAAACCUUGAGGACAAUUGCAAACAGGUUCUUCAUCCAAGAGAAUACAAUAUGCAUUAAUGCCGCAGACGCCUUUCGGAUCGCACCUGUCAUUUGGCACUGACCAUUCGAUUGACCAAUUACCAUUCUGAUUCAUGUUAUGAGUAUACAAGCGGAGUAUCCCAUCAGCAUCUAUUGUCAGGCGGUAUGUCUUCCCAUCAGCAGGAUUUCCACCAUCGGUAAUGUUCUUCGCGUUGACCCUACUGCGAUUGAGCAUGUACAGGAGUCCAUUUUCACUGAGCGUUAAUGCGGCAUUAUCUCCUAGGAAAUUUGUAUCUGUUGAGCGAUUGCUUUCCGAGAUACCAGAGACCAGCUCAUUACCAGACCGCAGGAGCUGUCCUGGCAAAAGGGUGUCUGUUUGGUGAUCAAAACUUUGCCAUAUGAUUCUCGAAUCAGCAUCGUAGAGGACGAAGUUGCCAGAAUCUAGAAUGGAAGCAUAGGAUGCCCGCAUUGAUGCAUUCCCAAUGGAUAUGGCUUGACCUCCAAUGACUUGCAGGACAAGCCUACCAUCACUGGUUAAAGCCAAGGUUGCAUUGCGGGAGAUUGGAGGGCCAUCUCUGUUUGCUGUCCAUGUGACAGUCUUUUGUGGAAUUCCAGCAAACCACGUACCUAUACCAAAGCCAUUGCCUUGGGAGAAGAAUCCGAAGGCAAAACGACCUGAAUGUGAGAGCCAGGAUGAGUUGCUGCCAGCGGGAGAAAGAGAAGAUCCCAGGCUAAUAUUGGAUUGUUGAGCUGUAGCAGUCACAGGUGCAGAGAAGAUAAGAAAGAAUAGUUGAUGCCAUCAUUUUGCUACGUUACCACUUACCAUUUGCUAAAGAAAAUGUAUUAAUAACAUUUUCAGGCUUCCCUUCUAGAAAUCAAAAAAUUAUUUCAAAGAUACGACAGAAAUUUAAUUUCAACAUAAAAGUUAAAUUGAAAAUAUUUCAUAACAAGUAUAAAAGAACAUUUCAAAUCAAAGUAUAAAGAAAAAAAAAACAUUUUAAAGAAUUUUAGCUUGCAUUAUAUUAAAUUUUGGAAUCGAAGAGAUUUUUUUUAAUCAGAUCAUGUCUCUCAGAUUUAAAUUUGUAUGAAAAAGAAUCAAACAAAUAAAGAAAAUUUCAUCAAUGCAUUUUGUAAUUUUCAUUUCAAAAUUACAUCCAAUGAGUAAUUUAAUUUUCAUUUCAAAAAAAAAAUAUCAAAUUUAAAUUAAAGGACUUCAAAUCCAUACCUAUAUCAUCAUAAGCAUUAAGAAUUUAAGCAAAUUAAAUUCUUAUUAUUGCCGUUAAAAAAAUUCAAUUACCGGCAUUGAAGUUAUAAUUUGAGCAGUUUCCUAUAUAGCGGCACCCAAUGAUGUUUCCUGCGUUGUACACAAUAGACAAUUAAAAGUCAUAAGAAAAGACUACAUUGAUUGUGUCCAGAAAAUCCUCAACACCUUAUUAUGAUUUAUGAGCUAUCGCAUCUCUAAAAUUAGGAAUGUAAGUAGGAAAUUGUCCCCAAACAAGCGAAAGGAGAGCUGGGUGUCCCAUUAUUUUACCAGGAGGGUCAUAGUUGCACACAAUGAAGGUUCCUCCACUGUUGCAGGUCACAUUAGCACACCCUAAGCGAAGCGAGUCUUGCCAAACCACCUGAGUAUAGUGCCCACACUGCUUGCCUGCAGCACAAGAAUUAGAAUUGUAAUCGUAGAAGGCCUUCUCGUCAACCCACAGUUUCACAGCAUCUUUGCCUGAAAGGUCACCGCUGCUUUUCGCAAGGUUCUCCCCGUAAGGACGAUUGCUGGAAUGCACAAGAUUGCAGUCACCGGCCCGUUGACUAGCAUAGUUUUGUGCAAAGGCUGCCACUUUGUUGUCCCAAGUCAUAGGUCCAACACCCACAGCUGCUCGUGCUUGGUUAUGGGCAUUAAGGUAGUCUUGUGGUGAGUCUUGGGCAUUCAAGGGUAGGAUUAAGCAGGCUAGGCUAAUGAGGCAAAAGAGAGCUAGUGAAUUCUUGCAGAACACCAUUUUUGAGUUUGUUUAAGAUCUUAGGCAAUGGAUGAAAAUAGAUGUGUGUUUCUCUUGGAAUUUAUAGGGAUGAGGGUGUGGAAAUUUUUGUGAAGGAUUUGGAAAACUUAUCAAGAAAUUGGUAAUGACUUGAGAAACUGGGCUUGUUCUAAAGCUAUGCGUACCAUGGAAAAGUCAUUGGGGCAGAGUGGACACGGAAUUAAA